CAAAUCCAAAAAACUCAUGUGUGGGCUACGUGCUCCUUGACAGAGAAAUGCGUCUGCAGAGGAUAAUACACAACAUGGCCAAAGGUUUAAACAGCCCAAAGAGAGAGCACCAUUUGUAUAUUCUGCUACAAGAUUUGCCCUAGUCCCAUCACUAAUAUGGAUGUGAUAAAAAAUAACAACAACAAAAGCUGCAAGAUUAUGUAAAAAAUGGCAGCAAUUAUGGUGUUAACAUAAUGAGAACAAUUAGUAUAGCAAAACCUAAGUUUGAAUUGGAAUGCAGGCAUAGAUCUUCUCAGAAGGUCUCUGUGGUAUCUUUGAUCUACCUUCUGAUUGUUAUAAUGUUCUGCUUUCUGCUAGCAGAAGUGAUUGCCAUGUGAAAGCAUUCAGGCGUUAUUAUCCAAGGUUCAAGUGUGGUAAAAUAAACUUGUAGUUAAAGCGGCUGAUCAUGGAUCAGGCUAGCUGAAAAUGCUCUAAAAAAAGUCUUUCAAAGAAAAAGCUAGGUUUUGGAUUAAACUAAAAUUCUCAUGGAAAGUGUUUUCAUUGGUCAAAAAUGUUUUUUGUUCAUUGGCAAGAGGAGAAAAUACCUGCAAGCCAUUUUUCCAAAUUUUUUGGCCUUACAUUUUUCAGAUGUUAGAAUGUAGUGGCAAAAGUUGAAAUCCUUAGUCUAGGAAAAAGAGUACCAUUUUUU